AGUGAACGCUGGCGGUAGGCCUAACACAUGCAAGUCGAACGGCAGCACAGGAGAGCUUGCUCUCUGGGUGGCGAGUGGCGGACGGGUGAGGAAUACAUCGGAAUCUGCCCAGUCGUGGGGGAUAACGUAGGGAAACUUACGUUAAUACCGCAUACGACCUUCGGGUGAAAGAGGGGGAUCGCAAGACCUCUCGCGAUUGGAUGAGCCGAUGUCGGAUUAGCUAGUUGGCGGGGUAAUGGCCCACCAAGGCGACGAUCCGUAGCUGGUCUGAGAGGAUGAUCAGCCACACUGGAACUGAGACACGGUCCAGACUCCUACGGGAGGCAGCAGUGGGGAAUAUUGGACAAUGGGCGCAAGCCUGAUCCAGCCAUACCGCGUGGGUGAAGAAGGCCUUCGGGUUGUAAAGCCCUUUUGUUGGGAAAGAAAUCUUUCAGGCUAAUACCCUGGGAGGAUGACGGUACCCAAAGAAUAAGCACCGGCUAACUUCGUG
rnacentral:rRNA from 1 species